rnacentral:sRNA from 1 species
UCCAUCAAUGAAUCCCUCGCAUAUCCAAUAAUCUAUCAGCCUCUCUUUUUCUAUUAAAUCAUCUUCGGGAAACAGAGAGCAAUAUAGGAAACAA